rnacentral:rRNA from 1 species
ACCCGCUGAACUUAAGCAUAUCAAUAAGCGGAGGAAAAGAAACCAACAGGGAUUGCCCUAGUAACGGCGAGUGAAGCGGCAACAGCUCAAAUUUGAAAUCUGGCGUCUUUGGCGUCCGAGUUGUAAUUUGCAGAGGGCGCUUUGGCAUUGGCAGCGGUCCAAGUUCCUUGGAACAGGACGUCACAGAGGGUGAGAAUCCCGUACGUGGUCGCUAGCCUUUACCGUGUAAAGCCCCUUCGACGAGUCGAGUUGUUUGGGAAUGCAGCUCUAAAUGGGAGGUACAUUUCUUCUAAAGCUAAAUAUUGGCCAGAGACCGAUAGCGCACAAGUAGAGUGAUCGAAAGAUGAAAAGCACUUUGGAAAGAGAGUCAAACAGCACGUGAAAUUGUUGAAAGGGAAGCGCUUGCAGCCAGACUUGCUUACAGUUGCUCAUCCGGGUUUCUACCCGGUGCACUCUUCUGUAGGCAGGCCAGCAUCAGUUUGGGCGGUAGGAUAAAGGUCUCUGUCACGUACCUCCUUUCGGGGAGGCCUUAUAGGGGAGACGACAUACUACCAGCCUGGACUGAGGUCCGCGCAUCUGCUAGGAUGCUGGCGUAAUGGCUGU